UGCAGUCGAGCGGAACGAGUUAUCUGAACCUUCGGGGGACGAUAACGGCGUCGAGCGGCGGACGGGUGAGUAAUGCCUAGGAAAUUGCCUUGAUGUGGGGGAUAACCAUUGGAAACGAUGGCUAAUACCGCAUAAUGCCUACGGGCCAAAGAGGGGGACCUUCGGGCCUCUCGCGUCAAGAUAUGCCUAGGUGGGAUUAGCUAGUUGGUGAGGUAAUGGCUCACCAAGGCGACGAUCCCUAGCUGGUCUGAGAGGAUGAUCAGCCACACUGGAACUGAGACACGGUCCAGACUCCUACGGGAGGCAGCAGUGGGGAAUAUUGCACAAUGGGCGAAAGCCUGAUGCAGCCAUGCCGCGUGUAUGAAGAAGGCCUUCGGGUUGUAAAGUACUUUCAGUUGUGAGGAAGGGGGUGUCGUUAAUAGCGGCAUCUCUUGAC
rnacentral:rRNA from 1 species